ACUACAUGAAGCUGGAAUCGCUAGUAAUCGCGGAUCAGAAUGCCGCGGUGAAUACGUUCCCGGGUCUUGUACACACCGCCCGUCACACCAUGGGAGUCGGAAAUGCCCGAAGUCUGCGACCCAACCUUAGGGAGGGAGCAGCCGAAGGCAGGUCGGAUGACUGGGGUGAAGUCGUAACAAGGUAGC
rnacentral:rRNA from 1 species